GGAUGUGGGCAAUUGGCUGUUACAUCUUCACGCCCCACUGACCCCAGGGUUGAGUUCACAUUAAUCUGGCGCUGGUAGGGCAAGUAUCCCCCUUCCUCCCUCACACAUUCCAUGUGAAACCCCCCCCCCGAAGUCAGGUUGGGUCAAGCAGGACACUCCCCAGUAGAGGAGAGAGGCGGUUAUUUCAGUCACAGGAUAUACAAGGUAAGGCUGGCAUUCCGCCUACGGUAGAACCUCCAAAAACAACUCUCAAGGUCCAUUUUGCAGGAGAAUGGUAGGGUUAGUCAGUUUCAAGGACUCUAGAACACAUCCAAACGAGCCCUCGCAUGCUGGCCCUUUCU
rnacentral:snRNA from 1 species